AGCGAACGCUGGCGGCAGGCCUAACACAUGCAAGUCGAACGAAGCCUUCGGGCUUAGUGGCGGACGGGUGAGUAACACGUGGGAACGUACCUUGUGGUGCGGAAUAACGCAGAGAAAUUUGCGCUAAUACCGAAUGAGCCCUUCGGGGGAAAGAUUUAUCGCCGAAAGAUCGGCCCGCGUGGGAUUAGGUAGUUGGUGUGGUAAAGGCGCACCAAGCCUACGAUCCAUAGCUGGUCUGUGAGGAUGAUCAGCCACACUGGGACUGAGACACGGACCAGACUCCUACGGGAGGCAGCAGUGGGGAAUCUUGCGCAAUGGGCGAAAGCCUGACGCAGCCAUGCCGCGUGAAUGAUGAAGGUCUUAGGAUUGUAAAAUUCUUUUACCAGGGACGAUAAUGACGGUACCUGGAGAAAAAGCCCCGGCUAACUUCGUGCCAGCAGCCGCCGUAAUAC
rnacentral:rRNA from 1 species